GCGUGCUAAAAUGCAAGUCGAGCGGGACAGAAGGGAGCUUGCUCCCGGAUGUUAGCGGCGGACGGUUGAAUAACACGUGGGUAACCUGCCUGUAAGACUGGGAUAACUCCGGGAAACCGGAGCUAAUACCGGAUAGUUCCUUGAACCGCAUGGUUCAAGGAUGAAAGACGGUUUCGGCUGUCACUUACAGAUGGACCCGCGGCGCAUUAGCUAGUUGGUGGGGUAAUGGCUCACCAAGGCGACGAUGCGUAGCCGACCUGAGAGGGUGAUCGGCCACACUGGGACUGAGACACGGCCCAAACUCCUACGGGAGGCAGCAGUAGGGAAUCUUCCGCAAUGGACGAAAGUCUGACGGAGCAACGCCGCGUGAGUGAUGAAGGUUUUCGGAUCGUAAAGCUCUGUUGUUAGGGAAGAACAAGUGCGAGAGUAACUGCUCGCACCUUGACGGUACCUAACCAGAAAGCCACGGCUAACUACGUGCCACCACCCGCGGUAAU
rnacentral:rRNA from 1 species